AAGACCAUCAUCACUUUGUACAAAUGGGUCAGAAACCCUAUUAUGUCGAGACAAAGGUGGCGUAGCAUAUAACCAAAAAUUACCUCUCAAAAAAAUACUCUGCGGCUCUGCCGAGGAAGAACCAUAAAGUAGACCAGAGACCAGCGACGAAAAUGACACACUAGGACCAUGACAAUCUGUUAGAUUUGAAGCCCGAACCACCAAACGACGGGCUAUCAUACUCACGGUUAUAAAUAUAAAAGCUCCUCUAGGCUAAAUGCCCGAAUCGUCCAUGGAUCUAACAUUGUAUGCGGAAUCAAAACCUUCUCCCGCGGCCUCCAGAAGGGGGAAGACCACCACGAACAAAGCCCACCAUCGCCUGUGACGGAACAGUUUCCAAAAGAUUGGUAUGAAAAGGCACGUCCUGUACCGCAUGCACCUGAUGACUCUCAUAUUCAAGUAACACAUCGAUGAGACGUUAUAGCGACAGAGGUUCCGACAAGAAUGAUGCUAAGGUAAGGACGACGUCGAACUCUGGAGGUAAGCCCACAAGAACUAUUUCUACCUGCUCUGCCUCCGAGAUUCGAGAUCCAAAAGCCUCUAUCAAGGCACUUGUAUUUUGAAUCUUCGCUAUGUACUCUUUGACCGAGAGACUACCUUUCUUAAGUGAGUGAAGAUCGUGACGGAGGCGAGAGAGCUUCGUACUUGUGACUGCAGCGAAAAGACAAGUGGCAAUAUUCCACACAUCACACGCUGUUUGAACCUCUAUAAAAGAAGAUAAUAGUAAGGGAUUAAUGGUAGAGAGUAACCAGGAAGCAAGUAACCUGUCCUUGAACGAACGCCGAGGCCUCCGGAUUUAGAACGAGCAAGCCCUCCAGAGACUGCACAAAGCGCGGUAGAGCAGUGCCGUCAUCCAACUUUACAGUCUCAUGGCGAGGAAACGAUUGGACGAGCCUAGCACCAGUGAAUGCUGGACAGCCAUGCUCAACGGAGGCAAAAUCAGCAAAAGCAGUGGUGGUCAUGGAAGCAGACUAAGAGCAGGUCUCCAGCACCUUAGGCGACUGAUACCAUGUUAACAUCUAUGGUGAGUUGAAAUGUAUUGUGUAUUGAAAGAAUGAAAAUGUAUUGAGUAUUGAAAGAAUUCUUUGUAUUUAGUCUUAGUAUCUUGAGUUUGUACAUUAUGGAAAUAAUAUUUAUAGAUUAUAUGAGUAACUGUUAUUGCUAACAA